CAUGCAAUUCGAACGGUAACAGGUUAAGCUGACGAGUGGCGAACGGGUGAGUAAUGUAUCGGAACGUGCCCAGUAGUGGGGGAUAGCCCGGCGAAAGCCGGAUUAAUACCGCAUACGACCUACGGGUGAAAGCGGGGGAUCGCAAGACCUCGCGCUAUUGGAGCGGCCGAUAUCAGAUUAGGUAGUUGGUGAGGUAAAGGCUCACCAAGCCGACGAUCUGUAGCUGGUCUGAGAGGACGACCAGCCACACUGGGACUGAGACACGGCCCAGACUCCUACGGGAGGCAGCAGUGGGGAAUUUUGGACAAUGGACGCAAGUCUGAUCCAGCCAUGCCGCGUGCGGGAAGAAGGCCUUCGGGUUGUAAACCGCUUUUGUCAGGGAAGAAAAGUUUGUAGGUAAUACGUCCGGACGAUGC
rnacentral:rRNA from 1 species